UACAAUGACUGUCGGCAACGGAUAUCUCGGCUCUUGCAUCGAUGAAGAACGUAGCGAAAUGCGAUACUUGGUGUGAAUUGCAGAAUCCCGUGAACCAUCGAGUCUUUGAACGCAAGUUGCGCCCGAAGCCAUUAGGCCGAGGGCACGUCUGCCUGGGUGUCACA
rnacentral:rRNA from 1 species